GGAGCAGGACGAGCUGCCGCUGCGUGUCAUUUGUACACGGAGAGGAAAGUCCGGGCUCCGCAGGGCAAGACGCUGGGUAACCCCCAGGUGAAGUGAUUCACGGACAGUGCCACAGAAAACAAACCGCCUGCCAUGCAGGUAAGGGUGAAACGGUGGGGUAAGAGCCCACCAGAGGUGACGGUGACGGCACCUGCUAGGUAAACCCCGUCUGGAGCAAGACCAAAUAGGAAGGCGCCAAGGCCGGCCCGGCCGAUGCCUUCGGGUAGGUUGCUUGAGGCUGCAGGUAACUGCAGCCCUAGAGGAAUGGCAGCUGCUUCCCUUUAUGGAAGAACAGAACCCGGCUUAUAGUCCGGCUCCCGUC
rnacentral:RNase_P_RNA from 18 species